AUUGAACGCUGGCGGCAGGCCUAACACAUGCAAGUCGAGCGGAUGAAGAGAGCUUGCUCUCUGAUUCAGCGGUGGACGGGUGAGUAAUGCCUAGGAAUCUGCCUGGUAGUGGGGGACAACGUUUCGAAAGGAACGCUAAUACCGCAUACGUCCUACGGGAGAAAGUGGGGGAUCUUCGGACCUCACGCUAUCAGAUGAGCCUAGGUACGAUUAGCUAGUUGGUGAGGUAAAGGCUCACCAAGGCGACGAUCGUUAACUGGUCUGAGAGGAUGAUCAGUCACACUGGAACUGAGACACGGUCCAGACUCCUACGGGAGGCAGCGGUGGGGAAUAUUGGACAAUGGGCGAAAGCCUGAUCCAGCCAUGCCGCGUGUGUGAAGAAGGUCUUCGGAUUGUAAAGCACUUUAAGUUGGGAGGAAGGGCAGUAAGUUAAUACCUUGCUGUUUUGACGUUACCGACAGAAUAAGCACCGGCUAACUUCGUGCCAGCAGCCGCCGUAAUAC
rnacentral:rRNA from 1 species